GGAUGAGCCCGCGGCCUAUCAGCUUGUUGGUGGGGUAACGGCCCACCAAGGCAUCGACGGGUAGCUGGUCUGAGAGGACGAUCAGCCACACUGGGACUGAGACACGGCCCAGACUCCUACGGGAGGCAGCAGUGGGGAAUCUUGCGCAAUGGGCGAAAGCCUGACGCAGCAACGCCGCGUGCGGGAUGAAGGCCUUCGGGUUGUAAACCGCUUUCAGUGGGGACGAACCAAGACGGUACCCACAGAAGAAGCCCCGGCCAACUACGUGACAGCAGCCGCGGCCG
rnacentral:rRNA from 1 species